AGAAAAAUAAGCUAAUAAAAGCUAACGGGUUCAUACCUCGUCAAUGGAAUAAAUUAUUCCUUUUUCUA
rnacentral:tRNA from 1 species